GUCCAAACAGGUAAUCCUGUUGCAUGUGUGUCUUCUUCAUCUACACAAUGGGUCAUUGACUCCGGAGCUAGUGACCAUAUGACAGGAUCUUUUGACGAAGAAGAUUAUUGGUAAGGGGAAGGAAAUCGGAGGACUAUAUGUUUUGGAACAGUCUGUAUCUCCGUCCAAGGCCAUGUUGAGUGAUACCUCUCCUCUUCAACUACACUGUCAGUAUGGUCAUCCAUCACUGUCGAUCCUAAAGAAGUUGUUUCCUGGUUUAGAGUCAUUGUCUACUUUGCAGUGUGAGUCGUGUGAGUUUGCUAAGCAUUGUCGGGGUUCCUAUCCUCCUCGUGUCAAUAACAGAGUGCAAUCUAUAUUUGAUCUUGUUCAUUCUGAUGUCUGGGGUCCUUGUCAUGUCACAGGGACGAACGGGUUUAGAUAUUUCGUAACAUUUGUAGACGACUUCUCUAGGUGUACGUGGUUAUAUCUUAUGAAAUCUAGAGAUGAGUUGUUUACAAUUUUUUGUAAUUUUUGUGCUGAGAUCAAAACCCAGUUUAAUAAAAGUAUUAAGUGUGUGCGAA